rnacentral:rRNA from 1 species
GUGAGGAAUAUUGCGCAAUGGAGGCAACUCUGACGCAGCCAUGCCGCGUGCAGGAAGAAGGCGCCACGCGUUGUAAACUGCUUUUAACCGGGAAGAAACCCCAGGACGUGUCCUGGGUUGACGGUACCGGAGGAAUAAGCACCGGCUAACUUCGUGCCAGCAGCCGCGGUAAUACGAAGGGUGCAAGCGUUAUCCGGAUUCAUUGGGUUUAAAGGGUGCGUAGGCGGAGCGUUAAGUCAGUGGUGAAAUCCUGCAGCUUAACUGUAGACUUGCCAUUGAUACUGGCGCUCUUGAGUGCGCUUGAAGUGGGCGGAAUGUGCCGUGUAGCGGUGAAAUGCUUAGAUAUGGCACAGAACACCAAUUGCGAAGGCAGCUCACUAAGGCGAUACUGACGCUGAGGCACGAAAGCGUGGGGAUCGAACAGGAUUAGAUACCCGAGUAGUCC